GCUGGUGUGGCUCAGUUGGUUGAGUAUUGCCCCAUGUAUCAAAAGGUCACAGGUUCAAUUCCUGGUCACAGCA
rnacentral:tRNA from 1 species